GGAGACGUGUCAGAGUGGUCGAAUGUGCCUCCUUGCUAAGGAGGUAGGGGUAACACCCUCGUGGGUUCGAAUCCCACCGUCUCCG
rnacentral:tRNA from 1 species